rnacentral:rRNA from 1 species
CUUGGUCAUUUAGAGGAAGUAAAAGUCGUAACAAGGUUUCCGUAGGUGAACCUGCGGGAGGAUCAUUCAUAAUAAGUGUUUUAUGGCACUUUUUAAAUCCAUAUCCACCUUGUGUGCAAUGUCAGGUUGUCCUCUUCAUUUUCUGGAGAGGAUGACCCAAACAUCAACUUAUCCUUGAACUCUUUGUCUGAAAAAUAUUAUGAAUAAAAUAAUUCAAAAUACAACUUUCAACAACGGAUCUCUUGGCUCUCGCAUCGAUGAAGAACGCAGCGAAAUGCGAUACGUAAUGUGAAUUGCAGAAUUCAGUGAAUCAUCGAAUCUUUGAACGCAUAUUGCGCUCUUUGGUAUUCCGAAGAGCAUGCUUGUUUGAGUAUCAGUAAACACCUCAAAGACAUUUCUGAUUUAUUUUCUGGAAUGGCUUUGGACUUGAGCAAUCCCAACACCAGUCCUUUACGGGAUCGGCGGAGGGUUGCUUGAAAUGCAGGUGCAGCUGGACAUUCUCCUGAGCUAUAAGCAUAUCUAUUUAGUCCCGACAAACGGAUUAUUACUUUUGCUGCAGCUAACAUAAAGGGAGUCUGACCGUAUUGGCUGACUGAUGCAGGAUUUCACAGGGGUUGGAAACGACUCUUGUAAAACUCGAUCUCAAAUCAAGUAAGACUACCCGCUGAACUUAAGCAUAUCAAUAAGCGGAGGA